AAUUUCGGGUGGUUAUUACAACAC
rnacentral:siRNA from 1 species